GAUGAACGCUGGCGGCGUGCCUAAUACAUGCAAGUCGAGCGAACGCACGAUAAGCUUGCUCUUCUGAUGUUAGCGGCGGACGGAUGAGUAACACGUGGAUAACCUACCUCUAAUUCUUGGAUAACUUCGGGAGACAGGAGCUAAUACCAGCUAAUAUUUUCUACCGCAUAAUUCAAAAGUGCAUGACGGUCUUGCCGUCACUUAUAGCUGGAUCCGCGCUGCAUUAGCUAGUUGGUAAGGUAACGGCUGACCAAGGCAACGAUGCAUAGCAGACCUGAGAGGAGGAUCGUCAACAAUGGAGCUGAGACACCGCCCAGAAGACUACGGGAGGCAGCAGUAGGGAAGCUUCCGCGAUGAGCGGAGGCAUGAUGGAGCAGCGCUGCGGGGGGGAUGAAGGUCUUCGGAUCGUAAAACUGUGUUAUUAGGGAAGAACAUAUGUGGAAGGAAAUGUGCACAUCGUGACGGUACCUAAUCAGAAAGCAACGGCUAACAACGUG
rnacentral:rRNA from 1 species